rnacentral:rRNA from 1 species
UACAGAGGGUGCGAGCGUUGUUCGGAAUUAUUGGGCGUAAAGAGCUCGUAGGCGGUCUGUCGCGUCGAUCGUGAAAACUUGGGGCUUAACCCUGAGCUUGCGGUCGAUACGGGCAUGACUGGAGUUCGGCAGGGGAGACUGGAAUUCCUGGUGUAGCGGUGAAAUGCGCAGAUAUCGGGAGGAACACCGGUGGCGAAGGCGGAUCUCUGGGCCUGUCCUGACGCUCAGGCGCGAAAGCUAGGGGAGCGAACAGG